rnacentral:rRNA from 1 species
UUCCGGUUGAUCCUGCCGGACCUGACUGCUAUCGGAUGGAGAUUAAGCCAUGCAAGUCGCCGUAGCAAUACGUGGCGGACGGCUCAGUAACACGUAGCUAACCUACCCUGUAGACGCGCAUAACCCCGGGAAACUGGGACUAAUUCGCGAUAGGCCAUAAUUCCUGGAAUGGAUCUUGGCCUAAAGGGCUGAUUGCUACAGGAUGGGGCUGCGGCCGAUCAGGUUGUUGGUGGGGUAAUGGCCCACCAAGCCUAUAACCGGUGCGGGCAUUGAGAGAUGGGGCCCGGAGAUGGACACUGAGAAAAGGGUCCAGGUCCUACGGGGCGCAGCAGGCGCGAAAACUUCGCAAUGGGCGAAAGCCCGAUGAGGUUAUUCCGAGUGCCUUCCGCUGAGGGAGGCUUUUCUCAAGUCUAAAUAGCGUGGGGAAUAAGGGGAGGGCAAGUCUGGUGUCAGCCGCCGCGGUAAUACCAGCUCCCCGAGUGGUCAGGACGAUUAUUGGGCCUAAAGCAUCCGUAGCCUGCUCAGUAGGUCUCAUGUUAAAUCCACCGGCUCAACCGUUGGUCUGCAUGGGAUACCGCUGGGCUAGGAGGCGGGAGAGGCGGACGGUAUUCCUUGGGUAGGGGUAAAAUCCUUUGAUCCAGGGAGGACCACCAGUGGCGAAGGCGGUCCGCCAGAACGCGCUCGACGGUGAGGGAUGAAAGCUGGGGGAGCGAACCGGAUUAGAUACCCGGGUAGUCCCAGCCGUAAACGAUGCGAGCUAGGUAAUGGGAUGGCUACGUGCCAUCCCAGUGCCGCAGGGAAGCCGUUAAGCUCGCCGCCUGGGAAGUACGGUCGCAAGACUGAAACUUAAAGGAAUUGGCGGGGGAGCACCACAAGGGGUGAAGCCUGCGGUUCAAUUGGAUUCAACGCCGGA